AUUGAACGCUGGCGGAAUGCUUUACACAUGCAAGUCGAACGGCAGCACGGGAGCUUGCUCCUGGUGGCGAGUGGCGAACGGGUGAAUAAUACAUCGGAACGUACCCAGUUAUGGGGGAUAACUAACCGAAAGGUUAGCUAAUACCGCAUACGCCCUGAGGGGGAAAGCGGGGGACCGUAAGGCCUCGCGUAAUUGGAGCG
rnacentral:rRNA from 1 species